rnacentral:misc_RNA from 1 species
AAGGAUCAUUACAGAGAACCUCGCCCUUCUGGGUGAAUCUCCAACCCUUAUGUUAUAUUACCUUUGUUGCUUUGGCGAGCCGCCUAGGCCACCGGCUUACGCUGGUGUGUGCUCGCCAGAGAACCCCAAACUCUUAGUUAUUAUUGUCGUCUGAGUACUAUAAAAUAGUUAAAACUUUCAACAACGGAUCUCUUGGUUCUG